GACGAACGCUGGCGGCGUGCUUAACACAUGCAAGUCGAACGGUAAGGCCCCUUCGGGGGUACACGAGUGGCGAACGGGUGAGUAACACGUGAGCAACCUGCCCUUGACUUCGGAAUACCAGCUGGAAACAGCUGCUAAUACCGGAUAUGACACUUGCCCUCAUGGGUGGGUGUGGAAAGCUCCGGCGGUCAGGGAUGGGCUCGCGGUCUAUCAGCUUGUUGGUGAGGUAAUGGCUCACCAAGGCUUCGACGGGUAGCCGGCCUGAGAGGGCGACCGGCCACACUGGGACUGAGAUACGGCCCAGACUCCUACGGGAGGCAGCAGUGGGGAAUAUUGCACAAUGGGCGCAAGCCUGAUGCAGCAACGCCGCGUGCGGGAUGACGGCCUUCGGGUUGUAAACCGCUUUCAGUAGGGACGAAGCUAACGUGACGGUACCUACAGAAGAAGGACCGGCUAACUACGUGCCAGCAGCCGCGGUGAUACGUAGGGUCCGAGCGUUGUCCGGAAUUAUUGGGCGUAAAGGGCUUGUAGGCGGUCCGUCGCGUCAGGAGUGAAAACUCGGGGCUUAACCCCCGAGCCUGCUUUUGAUACGGGCGGACUAGAGGGAUGCAGGGGAGAACGGAAUUCCUGGUGGAGCGGUGGAAUGCGCAGAUAUCAGGAGGAACACCGGUGGCGAAGGCGGUUCUCUGGGCAUUACCUGACGCUGAGAAGCGAAAGCGUGGGGAGCAAACAGGCUUAGAUACCCUGGUAGUCCACGCCGUAAACGGUGGGCACUAGGUGUGGGGGACAUUCCACGUUCUCCGUGCCGAAGCUAACGCAUUAAGUGCCCCGCCUGGGGAGUACGGCCGCAAGGCUAAAACUCAAAGGAAUUGACGGGGGCCCGCACAAGCGGCGGAGCAUGCGGAUUAAUUCGAUGCAACGCGAAGAACCUUACCUGGGUUUGACAUACACCGGAAAGCUGCAGAGAUGUAGCCCCCGCAAGGUCGGUGUACAGGUGGUGCAUGGCUGUCGUCAGCUCGUGUCGUGAGAUGUUGGGUUAAGUCCCGCAACGAGCGCAACCCUCGUUCUAUGUUGCCAGCACGUCAUGGUGGGGACUCAUAGGAGACUGCCGGGGUCAACUCGGAGGAAGGUGGGGAUGACGUCAAGUCAUCAUGCCCCUUAAGUCCAGGGCUUCACGCAUGCUACAAUGGCCGGUACAAAGGGCUGCGAUACCGCAAGGUGGAGCGAAUCCCAAAAAGCCGGUCUCAGUUCGGAUUGGGGUCUGCAACUCGACCCCAUGAAGUCGGAGUCGCUAGUAAUCGCAGAUCAGCAACGCUGCGGUGAAUACGUUCCCGGGCCU
rnacentral:rRNA from 1 species